rnacentral:misc_RNA from 1 species
AAGUCGUAACAAGGUUUCCGUAGGUGAACCUGCGGAAGGAUCAUUACAAAUAAAGCUGGUAGGAAGUGGGGUCUUGAUCUGUAAGUGGUAGAGCGAACAGUCCGGCUGCCUCCCGAAAUGUCUUACAUGUCCCCCACAGCCUGAAGGCGCAUGAAUACCACCUUGAUUAUCUAUACUUGUUGCUUUGGGGGUGCUCAAGUGCCCCCAGAGGACCCAACUCUCUUGCAUUUAGUGACGUCUGAGUACUGUAUAAUAUUUUAAGGA